UGGGGAAUAUUGGACAAUGGGCGCAAGCCUGAUCCAGCCAUGCCGCGUGUGUGAAGAAGGCCCUCGGGUUGUAAAGCACUUUAAGUUGUGAGGAAGGGUACUGGCUUAAUAGGUUGGUAUUUUGACGUUAGCAACAGAAUAAGCACCGGCUAACUCCGUGCCAGCAGCCGCGGUAAUACGGGGGGUGCGAGCGUUAAUCGGAAUUACUGGGCGUAAAGAGCACGUAGGCGGUUUGAUAAGUUGGAUGUGAAAGCCCAGGGCUCAACCCUGGAACGGCAUACAAAACUGUUGAACUCGAGUAAGGGAGAGGAGAGUGGAAUUUCCAGUGUAGCGGUGAAAUGCACAGAUAUUGGAAGGAACACCAGUGGCGAAGGCGACUCUCUGGCCUAUUACUGACGCUGAGGUGCGAAAGCGUGGGGAGCAAACAGGAUUAGAUACCCCCGUAGUCC
rnacentral:rRNA from 1 species